UGAAGCCUGAGACGCAAUGCCGAUCCGUUUUAGGAGAAGUCACUAAUCCCAUGCUGCCUAGAAAAGCCUCUAGCGAGCUGACGUGGUACCCGUACCCCAAACCGACACAGGUGGGCAGGUAGAGAAUACCAAGGCGAUCGGGAGAACUGUGGUUAAGGAACUCGGCAAAAUGCCUCCGUAACUUCGGGAGAAGGAGGACCCCAUUAGGGUGAAGGACCUUGCGUCCGGAGCUCGAAGGGGUAGCACAGACCAGGGGAAAGCGACUGUUUACUAAAAACACAGCAGCGUGCGAAGUCGCAAGACGAUGUAUACGCUGUGACGCCUGCCCAAUGCCGGAAGGUUAAAGGGAAAGGUUAGUCCGCAAGGGCGAAGCUUUGAACUGAAGCCCCGGUGAAUGGCGGCCGUAACUAUAACGGUCCUAAGGUAGCGAAAUUCCUUGUCGGGUAAGUUCCGACCUGCACGAAUGGCGUAACGACUUUCCUACUGUCUCAACCACAGACCCGGCGAAAUUGAAGUACGAGUAAAGAUGCUCGUUAGCUACAGAAGGACGGAGAGACCCCGUGGACCUUUACUAUAGCUUGAUGUUGAGUUUUGUUAUGUGUUGUGUAGGAUAGGUGGGAGACUUGGAAGCAUUGGCGCCAGCCAGCGUGGAGUCAACCUUGAAAUACCACCCUGCUUAUGACGGAGCUCUAACCCACGUCCCUUAUCGGGAUGGGGAACAGCGUCUGGUGGGUAGUUUGACUGGGGCGGUCGCCUCCUAAAGAGUAACGGAGGCGCCCAAAGGUUCCCUCAGGCUGGUUGGCAAUCAGCCGUCGAGUGCAAUGGCACAAGGGAGCUUGACUGCGAGACCUACAAGUCAAGCAGGUGCGAAAGCAGGGCAUAGUGAUCCGGCGGUUGCGUGUGGAAGCGCCGUCGCUCAACGGAUAAAAGGUACCCCGGGGAUAACAGGCUCAUCUUCCCCAAGAGUCCAUAUCGACGGGAAGGUUUGGCACCUCGAUGUCGGCUCAUCGCAUCCUGGGGCUGAAGCAGGUCCCAAGGGUUGGGCUGUUCGCCCAUUAAAGCGGUACGCGAGCUGGGUUUAGAACGUCGUGAGACAGUUCGGUCCCUAUCCUCUGUAGCCGGAAGGAACUUGAGAAAGGCUGUCCCUAGUACGAGAGGACCGGGAUGGACGCAGCUCUGGUGUGCCAGUUGUCCUGCCAAGGGCAUUGCUGGUUAGCUACCUGCGGAAGGGAUAAGCGCUGAAAGCAUCUAAGUGCGAAGCCUGUUUCUAGAUGAGGUUCCUCACUGGGUUAACCAGGUAAGGCCCGUGGAAGACCACCACGUUGAUAGGCCGGAGGUGUACGCGUGGUAACACGUUCAGCCGACCGGUACUAAUCGGCCGAGGGCUUGGAC
rnacentral:rRNA from 1 species